CGGGAAGAAAUGGAGGCGUACCCAAUGCCAUCCUGGAGUUUUCAUUGUAAAGGUAUAAGUGGCUUCCUGAACAAAAAUCCUGGCAGAUAGAUAUAUAGGGGAAGGAACAUCUGCAGAAGGGACAGAAACUAAGAUAUUCUCUUCAGUCUGUAAGUAACUUUCAGCUUCAUGGUCAGUCUUAAAGACCCUUCCAUCAGGAAUGGCUGGCAGGCUCUUAGAGCCACAACUGAUAAGAAUCUGAUCAGCAGGAGCAAAG
rnacentral:misc_RNA from 1 species